AUCCAUCUGACGAGUCCUAAAUAGGACGAAAUAUGCGUGCUGUAU
rfam:Schistosoma mattheei strain Denwood, Zambia genome assembly, scaffold: SMTD_scaffold0000716